rnacentral:misc_RNA from 1 species
GAUGAAGAACGUAGCGAAAUGCGAUAAGUAAUGUGAAUUGCAGAAUCCAGUGAAUCAUCGAAUCUUUGAACGCACAUUGCGCCCGCCAGCAUUCUGGCGGGCAUGCCUGUUCGAGCGUCAUUUCAACCCUCGACCUCCCUUUGGGGAAGUCGGCGUUGGGGACCGGCAGCACACCGCCGGCCCUGAAAUGGAGUGGCGGCCCGUCCGCGGCGACCUCUGCGUAGUAAACCAACUCGCACCGGAACCCCGACGUGGCCACGCCGUAAAACACCCAACUUCUGAACGUUGACCUCGAAUCAGGUAGGACCACCCGCUGAACUUAAGCAUAUCAAUAAGCGGAGGA